UGGAUCCAUGGUGACUACUGGCGGCGCAUGAGACAUAGACAAUGACUGCGUGUCCCACUCUGAGGUCCGG